GCAAGUCGAGCGAACUCUUCGGAGUUAGCGGCGGACGGGUUAGUAACGCGUGGGAAUAUACCCAAAGGUACGGAACAACAGUUGGAAACGACUGCUAAUACCGUAUGUGCCCUACGGGGGAAAGAUUUAUCGCCUUUGGAUUAGCCCGCGUUGGAUUAGGUAGUUGGUGGGGUAAAAGCCUACCAAGGCGACGAUCCGUAGCUGGUCUGAGAGGAUGAUC
rnacentral:rRNA from 1 species